rnacentral:tRNA from 1 species
GCGGCUGUAGCUCAGUGGUAGAGCGCUUGCCUAGCAUGCAGUGAGGCACUGGGUUCGAGUCUCAGCACCACA